AGCGAACGCUGGCGGCAGGCUUAACACAUGCAAGUCGAGCGGGCAUCUUCGGAUGUCAGCGGCAGACGGGUGAGUAACACGUGGGAACGUACCCUUCGGUUCGGAACAACUCUGGGAAACUGGAGCUAAUACCGGAUACGCCCUUAUGGGGAAAGGUUUACUGCCGAAGGAUCGGCCCGCGUCUGAUUAGCUAGUUGGUGGGGUAACGGCCUACCAAGGCGACGAUCAGUAGCUGGUCUGAGAGGAUGAUCAGCCACACUGGGACUGAGACACGGCGCGGACUACUACGGGAGGCAGCAGUGGGUAAUAUUGGACUAUGGGCGCAAGCCUGAUCCAGCCAUGCCGCGUGAGUGAUGAAGGCCUUAGAGUUGUAAAGCUCUUUUGUCCGGGACGAUAAUGGCGGUACCGGAAGAAUAAGCCCCGGCUAACUUCGUG
rnacentral:rRNA from 1 species